UAGUACGGCGAGUGAGCGGCAAAAGCUCAAAUUUGAAAUCUGGCACCUUCGGUGUCCGAGUUGUAAUUUGAAGAAGUAACUUUGGGUCUAGUCCUUGUCUAUGUUCCUUGGAACAGGACGUCAUGGAGGGUGAGAAUCCCGUAUGGCGAGGAAUCUAGUCCUAUGUAAAGUGCUUUCGACGAGUCGAGUUGUUUGGGAAUGCAGCUCUAAGUGGGUGGUAAAUUCCAUCUAAAGCUAAAUAUUGGCGAGAGACCGAUAGCGAACAAGUACAGUGAUGGAAAGAUGAAAAGAACUUUGAAAAGAGAGUGAAAAAGUACGUGAAAUUGUUGAAAGGGAAGGGCAUUUGAUCAGACAUGGUGUUUUGCGACCCUCGCUCCUUGUGGGUGGGGUCAUCGCAGUUCACUGGGCCAACAUCAGUUUUGGCGGCAGGAUAAAUCUCUGGGAAUGUAGCUACUCUUCGGAUUAGCAUUAUAGCCCAGGGGAAUACUGCCAGCCGGGACUGAGGACUGCGACUUUUGUCAAGGAUGUUGGCAUAAUGGUUAUAUGCCGCCCGUCUUGAAAACACGGACACAAAA
rnacentral:rRNA from 1 species